GCCUGGGUGGCUCAGUCGGUUGGGCGCCUGACUUCGGCUCAGGUCAUGAUCUCGCGGUCCGUGAGUUUGAGCCCCACGUCAGGCU
rnacentral:tRNA from 1 species